rnacentral:rRNA from 1 species
UGCCAGCCGCCGCGGUAAUACGGAGGGGGCAAGCGUUGUUCGGAAUUACUGGGCGUAAAGGGCGUGUAGGCGGCGGUUUUAGUCAGGCGUGAAAGCCCGAGGCUCAACCUCGGAAUAGCGCUUGAUACUGAACUGCUUGAGACCGGAAGAGGGUAGUGGAAUUCCCAGUGUAGAGGUGAAAUUCGUAGAUAUUCGGAGGAACACCAGUGGCGAAGGCGGCUCACUGGCUCGAUACUGACGCUGAGGUGCGAAGGCGUGGGGAGCGAAGCCGAUUAGAUA